UUGACGGGACCGCACAAGCGGUGAUGAUGUGGAUUAAUUCGAUGCAACGCGAAAACCUUACCUACCCUUGACAUGUCCGGAAUCCCGAAGAGAUUUGGGAGUGCUCGCAAGAGAGCCGGAACACAGGUGCUGCACGGCUGUCGUCAGCUCGUGUCGUGAGAUGUUGGGUUAAGUCCCGCAACGAGCGCAACCCUUGUCAUUAGUUGCCAUCAUUUGGUUGGGCACUCUAAUGAGACUGCCGGUGACAAACCGGAGGAAGGUGGGGAUGACGUCAAGUCCUCAUGGCCCUUAUGGGUAGGGCUUCACACGUCAUACAAUGGUCGGUACAGAGGGUUGCCAACCCGCGAGGGGGAGCUAAUCCCACAAAGCCGAUCGUAGUCCGGAUCGCAGUCUGCAACUCGACUGCGUGAAGUCGGAAUCGCUAGUAAUCGUGGAUCAGCAUGUCGCGGUGAAUACGUUCCCGGGUCUU
rnacentral:rRNA from 1 species